rnacentral:rRNA from 1 species
UACGAAGGUCCCAAGCGUUAUCCGGAUUUAUUGGGUUUAAAGGGUGCGUAGGCGGGUUAUUAAGUCAGUGGCGAAAGCUCCAUGCCUAACAUGGAAAUUGCCAUUGAUACUGAUGAUCUUGAGUACAUUUGAAGUGGGCGGAAUGUGUCAUGUAGUGGUGAAAUACUUAGAUAUGACACAGAACACCGAUUGCGUAGGCAGCUCACUAAACUGUAACUGACGCUGAGGCACGAAAGUGUGGGGAUCAAACAGG